AUAUGUGCGAUUGAUGAGUUUGAUAAGAUGGAUGAGUCAGACAGGACGGCCAUACAUGAAGUCAUGGAGCAGCAGACGGUUAGCAUUGCCAAAGCCGGGAUCACCACAUCUCUCAAUGCAAGAACUGCAGUUCUUGCUGCUGCCAAUCCUGCCUGGUAUUAAAUACUCUUUACAUUAUCAUUAUCAUUUUUUAAUUACUAAUACUAAUAUGAAUGUGUUUUGUUUGAUGAUGAUUCAGGGGGAGAUAUGAUCUCCGCAGAACUCCAGCUGAAAAUAUAAACCUGCCUCCUGCACUUCUAUCAAGAUUUGAUCUUUUGUGGUUGAUCCUUGACAAGGCAGAUAUGGACAAUGAUCUUGAAAUGGCCAGGCAUGUUGUUUAUGUCCACCAGAACAGAGAAUCUCCUG
rnacentral:lncRNA from 1 species